AUGUCCACUUUGGCAACAAAUGUGCUAAAAUUAGAAUAAUACAAAGAUUAGCAUGGCUCCUGGGCAAGGAUGAAAUGUAAAUUCAUAAAGUAUUCUGUACUUUU